rnacentral:rRNA from 1 species
GACGAACGCUGGCGGCGUGCUUAACACAUGCCAGUCGAACGGAAAGGCCCUGCUUUUGUGGGGUGCUCGAGUGGCGAACGGGUGAGUAACACGUGAGUAACCUGCCCUUGACUUUGGGGUAACUUCAGGGAACUGGGGCUAAUACCUGAUAGGAGCUCCUGCUGCAUGGUGGGGGUUGGAAAGUUUCGGCUGUUGGGGAUGGACUCGCGGCUUAUCAGCUUGUUGGUGGGGUAGUGGCUGACCAAGGGUUUGAUGGGUAGCCGGCCUGAGAGGGUGACCGGCCACAUUGGGACUGAGAUACGGCCCAGACUGCAACUGGGGGCAGCAGUGGGGAAUAUUGCACAAUGGGCGGAAGCGUGGUGCAGCAGCGCCGCGUGCGGGAUGAGGGCCUGCGGGUUGUGAACCGCUUUCGCCUGUGACGAAGCGUGAGUGACGGUAAUGGGUAAAGAAGCACCGGCUAACUACGUG